GCCGAGCGCGCGUUUGAAAAGCGUCCUGGUCUCGGUUUUUGUAACUGCGAAAAUUCGGCAAAGCAGUGUGAUUCAUAAGAGAACAUUCCCGAUCGUUAAACCAACACCCGUGUCUCCGAUACACGAGUGAGCAACUGGACUGGCGAGCCGAUUCUUCUCAGACCGACCAUCAACAAUCCUGAAAUGGAUUCGGCCAUUUUUGGAUAUUUUCUGCAGGAAAUGAUAUCCUUACGAUAAAGAGAAAACCAAUAGGUGGCAUCAGCAAAAAUUAUCUGAAGGACCUGAUGUUGUGCCUGCUACAUCAACCAACUCCAGGGGUUUACUCCCUAAAUGGGGAUUCAGCCUUCUGUAGACCUCUAUCAGCUACAUAUUACAGAUGGAGGAGGAAGGGGCAAAAAAGAGAUGCCGACUCCAGGAUGAAGAUGUGUAGACACUCCAAUUAGAAUUAUGGCUGAGUCAUGAAGUGCUGGGUGUGGAUAACCUCAGUGACAGUGGUUCCUGGUUUUGGGGAUAUUUAGUACAGAAAGGAGAAAAAUGUCCAGGGUCUUAAGCUCCUAAGCAUGCUUUACAUAUUUAAGUUCUUU